UUGACCUCAGAUCAGGUAGGAAUACCCGCUGAACUUAAGCAUAUCAAUAAGCGGAGGAAAAGAAACCAACAGGGAUUGCCCUAGUAACGGCGAGUGAAGCGGCAACAGCUCAAAUUUGAAAUCUGGCGCAAGCCCGAGUUGUAAUUUGUAGAGGAUGUUUCUGGCGACGUGCCUUCCGAGUUCCCUGGAACGGGACGCCAUAGAGGGUGAGAGCCCCGUACGGUUGGAUGCCUAGCCUCUGUGAAACUCCUUCGACGAGUCGAGUAGUUUGGGAAUGCUGCUCUAAAUGGGAGGUAUACGUCUUCUAAAGCUAAAUACCGGCCAGAGACCGAUAGCGCACAAGUAGAGUGAUCGAAAGAUGAAAAGCACUUUGAAAAGAGGGUUAAAAAGUACGUGAAAUUGUUGAAAGGGAAGCGUUCAUGACCAGACUUGGGCAGGUUGAUCAUCCGUGGUUCUCCGCGGUGCACUCUGCCUGCCCAGGCCAGCAUCAGUUCGCCCCGGGGGAUAAAGGCUUCGGGAAUGUGGCUCCUCCGGGAGUGUUAUAGCCCGCUGCGUAAUACCCUGGGGCGGACUGAGGUUCGCGCACUGCAAGG
rnacentral:rRNA from 1 species